rnacentral:rRNA from 1 species
AUCAUGGCAAGCGUUGUCCGGCUUGAGCUUGAUCCUGGCUCAGAUUGAACGCUGGCGGCAGGCCUAACACAUGCAAGUCGAGCGGUAGAAAGUAGCUUGCUACUUUUGAGAGCGGCGGACGGGUGAGUAACGCGUGGGAAUCUACCUGGUAGUGGGGGACAACUUGGGGAAACUCAAGCUAAUACCGCAUACGCCCUACGGGGGAAAGGAGGGGCUCUUCGGACCUUUCGCUAUCAGAUGAGCCUGCGUAGGAUUAGCUAGUUGGUAGGGUAAAGGCCUACCAAGGCGACGAUCCUUAGCUGGUCUGAGAGGAUGAUCAGCCACACUGGGACUGAGACACGGCCCAGACUCCUACGGGAGGCAGCAGUGGGGAAUAUUGGACAAUGGGGGCAACCCUGAUCCAGCCAUGCCGCGUGUGUGAAGAAGGCCUUCGGGUUGUCAAGAAGCACUCUCUCUAUGUCAGGUGAGUGACAAGGUGUCGAUAGUCUAUGUUAAUAGCGCUCGUCUGAUGACUAGUGUAGUAGCGUUAGUCCACAGACAGAAGC